rnacentral:lncRNA from 1 species
UUUAUAGAGUCAUAAAGUUACAUUUCCGUAUCCCUGUUAUACCCAUACCCAACCACUACAUCCUAAGAAUAUUCCGUACAAGACAGUAACUUGGUUCUCAUCCAAGACGUCGCUGUCACGGUAAAAUUACAUAUCCAACCUCAUACUAGACUCCUAUUACAGAGCCGUCCUGCUACAAAGUGGUUCCGGGGUCACCUUAACUGUCUUCUUCUUCAUUUGUAAGCUUCGUUGAGACCGAGCAGCCUUCAGUAGACUUUCCACCUUCUUUGGUCGAAGCCAGUUGACUUCGACUUCUGGUUAUGGAGUCUUCACGAAGCCGAAACGCUGGGAGCUCCGUGGGAGGUUUAACUUCGCGAGUCUUUUCCUGCAAAACAACAAAGUGGACACCUUCGUGAUAGCUAACUUCGGUCAUUUGUUAACUUUGUAAGGAGGGGGGAAGUGAUGAGGUUAGAAUCGGUCCAGAGGAAAAGGUCCCCGCUAGCGCCGUUCAGGGUGUGUUGUGGGGCGGUCCCCAACAGUAGCCCCUUCGUGGGCGAGGUCCGAGGCACCGUCGACCGAUCCCGCGAGAAGUCCAAAAACGCCCCCAAAACGUCACCCUGAAGGGCGGCGUGGGCCGAGGCAUUUUACCGUUAUGUGAGGGUAUCAAGGUCAUUUUCUAUGUGGCGGUUGAUGUUUCGAGGCGGUUUUUACCGUGCCUAUAUAAGGUUUGCCGGGGGGGCAGGCCAUUUUUUACGCUGUCGUUUUCGAGCUGCGCUUUUUGCCACUUUUGCCUUCGUUGCGUGUCUUCGUUCUGCUUUGUUGGCUCCGUUUUCUUGGUGGGGUGUUGACUUCAUUUUUGCGGCAAUUAGCAUCAGGUAGAGCUGUAGGCGAUGUCUACGGAGGAGUUGGCUCUUCAGGUUGCCCCUGGUGGUGGAGGUAGCCCUGCCUCGCAGUCAGUGUCUGCGAGCAGUGGUGAGUCUGAGGGGAAGAGGUCAAAGAAACGGAUCUAUACGAAGGAUGGCCUGGUUUCGGCAGAAGAGGGAUCUUCGGGGAGCAGUUCGCCAGAUUGGUCCUCUGACGGUGGUGAAGGCGAAGGUGGACAAGGGCAAACCUCGAAAGGUACAGGGGGAACCGAGGUUCAUGCCGUAUCCUCGGACGAGGAAGAAGUUGGGGAGGAGGAUGCCGAGGUUGAAGUGAGGCCCGAGGCAUCCGUCGGGGGGAAGGUUCCGUGCGUCCCUACUCUUUAUUUUGGGCGCUCCCAGGUGACCUCGCAAGACAUUGCAUUUUUUGAGGAGAGCCACUUUUUCCCUAAGGGGAUGGGCAGAGCCCCCGGGAGCGAGGCAGUUCCGACGCCUGAGGUCGGCGAGGCUGUUGUCUUUAGGGAUCUGUUUACUGCGGGACUUCAUUUUCCGUGCGACAGGUAGCUACCGGUUAUAUUGCAUCGCUACCGUGUUAGGUUGCAUCAGUUGACCCCCAAUGCCAUUGUGAACUCUCUAAGUUCUAUUGGGUGCAGCGCACGUUUGGUGGAAGUGUUGAUGUGGAGGGGUUCGCGAGGUUACAUGAGCUUCACAUUCAGAAGAAAAGAACUUAUUCUGAUGAGGGGUUUGCGAAAAUCAUUUUGGAUGCUGCACCUUCGUGCCUCGUCGGAAGAAUGAUAAGAGGAAUCUGCCGAGGGUAGAUGUGGCGUCCCGCCCCCCGGGGCCGAGCCCGCUUACACCUGGCAGCUCUCUAGGAUAUCAAGAAUUCCCUCACAGACCAACACAAGUCUUUUCUGCGCACUUUGUCCUCACUCGUGCACACCCGGGAAGAACUUCCCAGUCGGUCACCCAUCCCAAAAUUGCUCCAGGCCAAGCACGCUUAACCUCGGAGUUCUUUGAGGAUGAGCUUCUGGAAAAGAAGUUGCAACUUGUUGGUAUGAGUAUUCUAUCAAUCCUAUUAAGCCUUGGGCUAGGAUGUCACAUACUCACCCCCUUAGAAGACCGACGCCCUCGUCGGUCAACCCCAAGCCAGGAACGUCCCCUCUUGGCCACGUCCAUGUGUCCAGUGCUAGCGCAUGUGCCAUGCUGUGUUACCACUCUGGGCCCACACCAGCCAUGCACACCAUGCCAGCGCAACUGCGACCGCACGCGCCCGUGAAACCGCGAGAGUCGGCUCUGAUACCAACUAUGGCGUCCCGCCCCCGGGGCCGGGCCCGCUUACACCUGGCAGCUCUCUAGGAUAUCAAGAAUUCCCUCACAGACCAACACAAGUCUUUUCUGCGUACUUUGUUAUCACUCGUGCGCACCCAGGAAGAACUUCCCAGUCGGUCACCCAUCCCGAAAUUGCUCCUAGGAUAUCAAGAAUUCCCUCACAGACCAACACAAGUCUUUUCUGCGCACUUUGUCCUCACUCGUGCGCACCCAGGAAGAACUUCCUAGUCGGUCACCCAUCCCGAAAUUGCUCCGGGCCAAGCAUGCUUAACCCCGGAGUUCUUUGAGGAUGAGCUUCCGGAAAAGAAGUCGCAACUUGUUGGUAUGAGUAUUCUAUCAAUCCUAUUAAGCCUUGGGCUAGGAUGUCACAGUAGAGCUGACCUUCGUGCAGAGGAACAAGUGGGACGAUGCGUGGCUGACGCAUUGGUUUUAUGUAAAGAUUGAAAUGGCCGAUCUUGGCACUGGAUUUCCAUUCUAUGCACAGUUUGGGCCGAUAGACAUGCUAACAACCCCUUCGUUCAUCCAGACAGCCCUUGUGACGAAGUGCGAAGCUGCCUAUAGGGUUGCUGGGCCCUUGAUAUCUGGGCGUGAUCUUGUGGAGGAGUACGUCGCUGCCCGAGUGUGGCCUUUGUCUGCUGAUUUUGCUAAACCCCUUGAGCUCGUUGAGAAGAAAGUGUCUUGGAGCGAGAAGACUGUGUCGUUCCCUUGUUUUGAGCUUAACAAGGACGAAGUUGGCGACUUGGACUUGUACAUACAGUUAGUGGAAGAUAUGGCUUAUGAGAUUUUUGGUCCGGUGACCCCGCCCGAAAGGCGCUCUUUCGAGGCUGUUGUGAGACAUGGGCGGCGUGUCAACAGGGUUUUUGACUUGCUUGACAUCGCAGUGCCACCUCGUCCGAGGUUAUGGGCAAGAGGCGCCGUCGGGGUGCCGGUGCUGAGCAGAGGAAGAAGGUGAAAUUCGAUUCUGCUCGCACGACGAAACCUGCUGUUGAGUCACAGGCAGCCGCCAAGGCGAAGCAAAAAACCCUUAGCUUGGAGGCGCAGAAGCGGAAAGAUACUACCGUUGGAGCUUCGUCUGUUGACUUCAGUAGGCCGGCGUAUGUUGUGCCUGUUUCUAUGCAUCCUCCUACGGAUGCGCCUUCGUCCGCGGGUCCUGCCGUUCAGACUAAAAAGAGGGGUAACAAACCUCGCUUUGCAUGUGUUGUUGUGCCGGGUGCUAAGGCCGAAGUGCCUUCUGGGACCAGCAACAAGGUUGCACCUUCUUCCUCAGGCGCAAGGGCUCUGGGUGUGCAGUCUAUUUUAGCUGCAAAUGACAAACAUGAGGAGAGGGUAGUUGUUGAGAAGGUGAAGCUUGUGGACGCGUUUUCGUCUGAUCCUAAAGGUGCUAGUGCCGAGGCUGUUAGAUCCGGUAAGCAUGUAGAGGUGGUUUUGCCGAAGCUUCGGUUUUUUGAUUGCGGGCGGGCUUUGGCAUCAUUUUUGAAGGAUUUGGAGGCUACUAUGGGGGAGGUUGGCGAGGUUAGCUGUGAGGAUCAUGUAAGGCUGAAAGUUAAAUGUUAUGAUGUAGGUGAGAGAUUGCUGGCUGGUCUGCAAGGGCUUAAUGAAGGCCUGGGCUUGAGUGGACGCACGGAGGUUCUAGCGACGUGCGCCGAAGGUAGGGUCUAUAAUCCACAUAACCUAAUUUUGGACUGGGGGAAGGGAGGUGAGAAUUGCAAGCGCUGUGCAGAUACCGGAGGUUCAAGGAGGAUGGAGAGAACAAGUGCGAUGGCUUCGGGUAAAGAGAUUGUUCCGAUCACCGUCGAGACGCGGGGGUACGAAGGUAAUGGCUUCUUGUGAGUGAUCAUUUUUCGUGGACUUUGUUGCUAUUGUGGUGUACUUAUAAUUGUAUGCUUGACCCGCAGAUUUUCAACAAUCUGUAAGGUUGAUGAGCUCGGAGGAGCUUUUGAGCUUGGAGGCUAACCUUGUAAAGAAGGUAUGACUACUAGUCGAUUUGUUGGUGCGUGCGAGGUUUAUUAGCUUUACUGUGUCUGCUGCGACUUGGUCUGAUGUUUUGUGUUUGGGCUUUGCAAAUGUCUUACUCGUCCAUGGUUACGAGGGAUAGGCUUGUCAAAAGCGAGAAGUCAGCUGCAGAACUUGCAAAGAAAGUGGCUUCACUUGAAGCGACUAUUGCAGCUAUGUCCCUGGAGGUGAAGAAGGUCAAAGUCGAGAAUGCGGAGUUGAAAGAGGACUCUCGCAGACUUGGUGAAAAUUACGAGGCUAGGGGCGAGGAGCUUGAGCGCUUGUCAGCAGAAGUGGUAGAUCUUGAACUGCUGAUUAAAGAGAAAGACAAGACUAUCGAAGAUUUGCGCGAAGGUGCCAAACGAGACAGUGCGGUUAUAUCGGGCUUGAAAGCUAAGAUUGGCCAGAUGGAGCCCGAGCUAGAAACGAGGGCAAAACUUCUGAGCCAGAUAGAGGCUACGUUAAGGGAGAGGUUCGAAAAGGUUCACGAAGCUUAUAAAAACUCCCUUGGUGUGUUUGGCGCUGAGCCUGAUGAUUACCCACUGGACGAAGGAUGCGAGCGCAUGUUCGAGUGGCUGCUGGACGAGGUUAAGAGUCUUCCCGAGGUUCUUGAGGGCCUGAAUGACUACUCCGCUGUGUUUUGCCUAGAGAGCGCCCUUCACUUGCUGGAGCAACAAGGAUGUGAGCAUAUGAAUAAUAUUUCCGAAGACAAUUAUGUUGCGUCGGCUGCCCAAGAUAUUAGAUGCGCUCCGAAGUCUUCCGUUGUGGAGAAUGCAAAAAAGAAUUUGUUCGAGCGCAUAUGGUCAUCGUCUGGGCAAGAGUAUGUGAAGAAGCUGGCUUGUGAGCGAUUAGCUCAGCUUCGUUCGCAGCCUAGCGUUACUAAUGAAGAGGGGGAUGUUGCGGAGUAGAUCUUUUUACUUAUGGACUUGUUUUUUUAUCUUUUGUUUUUAUGUAAAAAUGACGAGGUCAGAUACUUUUAAUUGUGCAUGAAGUUACGUCUUAUGAAAUGUUUGUGUGCAUGUGUAUCUUGGUUAAAAUGCUGUAGUUUAACUGCGUUUAUUCAUGGGCCAACCGCCAGUUUAGAUAAGUCGAAGCUGGGUUGCCGUGUGGGGCAACCUGCUGACUUAGUUGUUGCGAGAGCUGGUUGAUACAGCGACUUGCGAUCGCUUCAACUAUAACUGUAUGCGUUGCUGGGUGUGGUGACUUCAUGUGAGGUUGGUGUGGUGACUUACUUUUGGAAGCGGGUGUGCUUGAAAGUGUUUUCGAAAAAUGUCACCCCCCCUUUUGCGACAUUGCGAGAGAGAGAGAGGUUAGAUAACUUGAGCUUGUGGGCUCUUCUCUUGCGAGGUCGCAGAGACUUUCCGCGUUUUUUCGAAAAAAACGUUGUUGAAGCCUUGCCGAGGCUGCAUGCGAGAAGCUUGCUUGUGCGUGUUGGAGCGCGAUUUUGCACAGUCCUGUUGUUUGUGUCCCAAACGAAAAAGUUCCUCCGCGGAUUGGCGCGAGGUCGCGUAACUUGUUGUUGGUUUUUCGAAUGAGAGACUCCUUCGUGCACUGGCGCGAGGUCGCGCAACUUGUUGUUGCUUUCUUACACGAAAAACUCCUCCGCGUACUAGUGCGAGGUCACGCAACUUGUUGUUGCUUCUCAAUCGAAAAACUCCUCCACGCACUAGCGCGAGGUCACGCAACUUGUUGUUGCUUCUUAAUCGAAAAUCUCCUCCGCAUACUAGCGCAAGGUUACGCAACUUGUUGUUGCUUCUCAAACAAAAAAUAUUCUUAGGGGAAAACUUUUUCCUUUCUUUGUGGGAAAAGGUGUACAUGGAUCUGCCUCGUUAAAAACCUUGCCUCCGUUAUGGAGCCCCUAGCAAGGAAAAGAGUGCAACCUAGACUCUAUGACCUUACAAACGAGGUAAGCUUAAAAGAAAGAAAGGGAAAAAUUACUUUGUUGCCUUCGGCACUGCUUAUAGUUCCGCAGGCCGAAGGUAACGUGUACAGUUAUGGGUAGUAUUUUCGCAAACUGUCGAUGUUCCACGUAUGUGGGAGAGCGUUUCCUUGUUGAUCCGUGAGAUGGAAGGAGCGUUUCCUUGUUGAUCUGUUUUUUGGCAUGCUUCGCAGCUUCGUACAAGCAGGUGUGCGUCCGUGUGGACUAAUGGCCAGUAGAACCCUUGACGGAUUGCUUUUCCUACCAGGGCUCUUGAGCCAAUGUGAGCUCCACAGAAACCGUCGUGUAUUUCUUUGAGCAGUUCACUGCCUGUUUCGUAGUCGAUGCAUCGAAGCCAUGGUGUUGAGAUGCCUGUUUUGUAUAGCUGGCCCUCAAUGAUUGCGUAGCCCCUUGCUCUUUGCUUUAGGCGUGCGCAUUCAGCUUCGUUUUGAGGUUCAAAAUGGCCUCUGAGGAAGGCCAUUAUGCUUGUGCGCCAAUCGUAACGCUGGAUGGCGUUGAUGGUGGCCGGGUCUUCUUGUUUGAUUGAUGGCGAAGUUAUGACUUCGUAAAAUGUAUCUGGCGGAAUUGGCUCGCCUUCUGCUGCUACCUUUGCGAGCUUGUCAGCUUCGUCAUUUUGUGCUCUUGGUAUGUUUGUGACAUCAAACCCUUUAAAAUGUUUUUCCAUGGCUCGGACUGCCUGGAGGUAUUUGGCAAGCUCUGGCUCUUUGGCUUCGCUAUCCUCCUCGAUGUGAUCACGGAUUACCUUCGAAUCCGUUCUGAUGACGAAUGUUUGCUGCCCUAUGGCUUUCAUUUUUCUUAAGGCCAGGAGCAAUCCUUCGUAUUCUGUGGUGUUGUUGGUUGACUUCGCAGUUGGUGGGAAAUCUAGCCUCGCUGCGUACUUGAUUCUGACGCCUGUUGGUGAGGUGAUCACUGCUGCGACACCUGCUCCUCUACGGCACCAAGCACCAUCACAGUGGACGACCCAUGGCGUUUCUAGCUGCUUUGGUUCUUGCUUAGGCGAGGUCCAGUCAGCGAUGAAGUCAGCCAGCACUUGGGAUUUUAUAGCCGUGCGCCUUUCAAAAUCGACGACGAACUCCGAGAGCUCAGACGCCCAUUUGGCGAUGCGGCUAGAAGCUUCUCUGUUUGAGAACAGGUCAUGGAGAGGUUGGCUGGUUACCACGACUAUUUUAUGCCCCUCAAAGUAAUGUCGUAGCUUUUGUGCUGCCAUGACAACCGCAUAUGCGAUUUUUUCUAACUCAGAGUAAUGCAUCUUUGAACCACUCAAUGCCUCGGAUGCGAAGUAAACUGGUAUCUGCUUGAUUUUGCCUUCGAUUUCUUUCUCUUGGAUCAACGCAGCACUAACAGCUGUUGCUGAGGCUGAUACGUAAAGCAGCAGUGGUGACUUGGGCUCCGGUGGGCAUAGCUACGUCAUGGAAUGCAGGUACGCCUUGAGGUCUUGGAAUGCUCUGCUUUGCUCGUGUCCCCAUUCAAAUAUUUUGGAGCUUCGGAGCGUUUUGAAGAAGGGGAGGCUUCGUUCUGCUGCUCUCGGAAUAAAACGGUUUAGGGCUGCGAUUCUGCCGGUGAGCCGUUGUACCUGCUUGACUGAUGUUGGCUCUGACAUGUUGGCUAGUGCAGUGAUUUUGUCUAGGUUGGCCUCGAUGCCCUUCGUGGUUACCAAGCAGCCUAAGAUUUUUCCCCUUUGGACUCCGAAUACGCAUUUGUUUGGAUUUAGCUUCAAAUUGGCUGACCUCAGGUUAGCGAAUGUUUCUGUGAGGUCCAUGGUAUGGUUGCUUCGUUUAGCGCUCUUUACGAUGAUGUCGUCUACAUAGGCCAAAAUAUUGCGCCGAAGCUGGUUGUCCAGGACUGUUGCUGUCAUUCUUGAGAAUGUUUGGCCUGCGUUUUUUAGCCCCUCUGGCAUACGGACGAAACAGAAUGUUCCGAAGGGUGUCACGAAACUUGUUUUGCUUUCGUCUUCUUUUUUGAUUCUGAUCUGGUGGUACCCUGAGAAGAGGUCAAGUAGCGAGAGCAUUUCACUAUUUGCAGCGUCAUCUACCACCUUGUCAAUUCUUUCGAGAGGGUAGUCAUCUUUUGGGCAGGCUUUGUUGAGGUCUGUGAAGUCUAUGCACAUUCUCCAUUUGCUAUUUUUCUUUUUAACUGGUAUUGUGUUGGCUAGCCAGUCGGGGUACUGGAUUCGUCUGAUUACGUUGGCUUCGAGUAGCCUGUCAACUUCGGCCUUUACUGCUUGGACCUUCUCGUCGGACAUUUUUCUUAGCUUCUAUUUCUUUGGUCUAGCUCCUUGCUUGAUGUCGAGGCUGUGCUCAAUGAUUUCCCUAUCCACUCCCUUUAGAUCACUUGCGGACCAAGCGAAGAUGUCUUUGUUCUUGUUGAGGCAUUCGACGAGGUCACGCUCUUCAUCUGGGUUGAGAUUCGCCCCAAUUGUUACGAAUCUGUCUGUGAUGUACCCGUCUAGGAGUACCCGCUUUGUUUCACCGUCCGCACUAAUUUUUACCUUCUCUUUAUCUCUCUUAGGCUCGUCGUGGGCCUUUUGCUUUGCUAGGCUUUCGGCUUCGUUUGACGAGGCUAGAUGGUGGACGUUAUUUUGGCCCGGGGCUACCCCUUUUUCUAUGUUCCUUGCCAUUUGCUGAUCACCGUACACCGUUAUGACCCCUUUGAGGGCGGGUACUUUCAUGCACAGGUACAACUGCCUGAUUGUUGCGUCCAUUUUGGUGAUGAAGCCACGGCCGAGUAUUGCGUUGUAGGGAUAAUGCAUUUCCACUACGUCGAAGGUGAUGUGUUCUGUCCUCGCAUUAUCACGGUCCCCGAACGAAACUGGGAGGGCGAUUUUUCCCAAGGCCUUCACUGGCUUUCCGCCGAAGCCAAGGAGGAGGACAUCAGCUGGGUCGAGUGUGUUCAUGUCAAUAUUCAUUUCUCUGAAUGCAUUUGCGAAGAGAAUGUCCGCAGAGCUGCCUGUGUCUACCAGGACUUUCCCCACUGUCCAGCCUACUAUCAGUGCUUUGAUGACCAUCGCAUCAUUAUGUGAGGUUGUCUUAAGGUUGAAAUCUUCUCCGGUGAAGGUUAUGGGCAUGUGCGCCCAUUCUGGCUUUGCUGGAGGUCCAUCGGGAAUGAUCACGUUGAUAUCUCUGAAGUAGUUCCGUCUUUGCCUCUUGCUUUCAAACUCUAGCGAGGAGUCCCCGGUGAUUGGCAUUAUCAUCCCGAAGGUGGGCAAGGAAUUUUGGCUUGGGCAUUAUGGCUGGCAUGCUUGGGGGUGGAGGUAGAGUUUCUUGGGGCUUCUAAGGCGGGUUGGGAUUGGGGUGGUGUGGAAUUGCUUGGUGGUAGGGCUGUAUGUGUGUGGGAAGAGGCCAAUUCAUCGGUUGCGGGAAGUUGGCGAAGCUGGGUUGAUUGUGGUAGAAGGUUGGGUGUGGGUAAAAAGCUGUGUGGUUUAUUGUUUUGGGCGUCUGCGCGGCUGCCUUCGCAGCUUCUUCCGCAGCUUUUCUCUCGUCUUCCUUCUUUUUGGGGCACCACUCUGUGUUGUGGUGAUUCUGAUGGCCAUGGUUGACACAGUAAAAUGACUUUGGUUGUCUGCCUUGACCUCGUCCUCUGGCAGAGUGGCCCCCUCUUUGGGUGCUGUUGUUUUGAUUUUGGCUCUGGCUUUAGUUUUGGCUUCCCUCGAUGUUCAUGAUACGGUUUUGGUUUUGGUUUGGGUUUUGGGGUUUGUUGUAAGGCGAAGGUUGCCAGCUUCGGUUUUGGUUUGUUUGUCUCUCUUUGUUGCGUUCCGCCACUCUUCUGCGGUGGUCCUCGUCGGACCUGAUGUAUUCAUCAAGUUUCCUAAAGAGGGCAGUCAUGGUUUUAGGCUCCUUCCUUGACAGUUUUGACGCUGUUGGGCCGGGGGUUAAGCUCGCGAUGCAAGCGGAUAUUGCUACAGAUUCCUCAAUGUGCGGUGCUUGAGAACGAAGUUGAACGUAUCUUCUUACAUAUUCUGCAAGUGGUUCCUUGUCCUUUUGCUUGCACUGAAAGAGGUCUGCCUGGGCCGUGUGGGGGUGGUGGAAACCCUGGAAAUUUUGGGUGACCUUUGUCUUGAGAUCGUGACAGCUGAUCACCGUGUGUGGAGGGAGCAGCGAAUACCAAUUUAGCGUCGCGCCCUCGUAGGCAAUUAUGAAGGAUUUGGCGAGGACGACAUCAUCCCCUCCGGCCGAAGCUACUGCGGCUUCGUAACUCAUUAAGAAUUGCCGUGGGUCGGUGCGCCUGUUGAAUUUGGGCAAGGUGGUUGGUUUGUAAGUUGUUGGCCAUGGUGCAGUUUGUAGCCCUAUUGAGAGCGGUGAAGUUGUGUCGACCACAAGGGACACCCCUGGUGAGUGGCGCUGGGUGCCUUGGCCGAAGUUGAGGCUGGGUUGAAGCUGUGCUUGAUCGACAGUGGGACUUUGAUAAAAAUAGGUUGCGGCCUGGUUUGCAUUCUUGAGCAGCCUUUCGAGCUCUGCGACUUCUUUCUGUAGUGCUUCUAGUUGCCGCCUGGCUUCAUUCAACUUUGAUAGCCUGGCCGCAGCCUCUCUCUGGUGUUGCACUUGUUGUGCCAACUAUUCCUUUUUUCUUUUGACCUCUUCUAUCUCUCGGAGAACUGAAUCUAGUUCAUUGUCCAGGCUGGAUGGGCUAGUAGCUUCGGGUGUUGCGGGCUGGUGGGCAUCAAUGCGGUUGGCAGCUUCGUUGGCCACAGGUUGGUGGCUUUGGUGGUUGACUUUGUUUGCGGGCUGGUUGCUCAUUGCCUUGGCUCUCAGGACUUGCUCGACUCUUGCAAGACGCUCUGCCUUGUCGGGGAGGACUUGAUGUGUGGCUUCGGGGGCCGUGAGCUGGUUGGCUUCUUCUGUGUUGUCUUCCCUCUGAGCUGCGGGUCUCUUUUUGCGUUGUGGUGGCAUCGUGGGCUGUUUAACGAGUUAAACCACGGUGGGCGCCAAAUGUUGGGGAACACCCAAACAACAGUAAGAAAAUUAUGACGAACGAAGAUGACGGUAGUUCAAACAAACGUUACAGUGGCUGUCCUACCAAUGAUUCGUGUCCUUAGGGGGGACGGUUCGCCUCCCUUUAUAGAGUCAUAAAGUUACAUUUCCGCAUCCCCGUUAUACCCAUACCCAACCACUACAUCCUAAGAAUAUUCCGUACAAGACAGUAACUUGGUUCUCAUCCAAGACGUCGCUGUCACGGUAAAAUUACAUAUCCAACCUCAUACUAGACUCCUAUUACAGAGCCGUCCUGCUAUAAAGUGGUUUCGGGGUCACCUUGACUGUCUUUUUCUUCAUUUGUAAGCUUCGUUGAGACCGAGCAGCCUUCAGUAGACUUUCCACCUUCUUUGGUCGAAGCCAGUUGACUUCGACUUCUGGUCAUGGAGUCUUCACGAAGCCGAAACGCUGGGAGCUCCGCGGGGGGUUUAACUUCGCGAGUCUUUUCCUGCAAAACAACAAAGUGGACACCUUCGUGAUAGCUAACUUCGGUCAUUUGUUAACUUUGUAAGGAGGGGGAAAGUGAUGAGGUUAGAAU